AAGGCUGAAAUUACGCCUUCCAUGAAGCUGGAAUUGCUAGUAAUGGCAGGUCAGCAUACUGCCGUGAAUACGUUCCCGGGCCUUGUACACACCGCCCGUCACACCAUGAGAGUUGGAGAUACCCGAAGCCUGUGAGCUAACAAACGAGGCAGCAGUCGAAGGUAGAAUCAAUGAUUGGGGUGAAGUCGUAACAAGGUAGC
rnacentral:rRNA from 1 species